CCUUAUCGAAAAAGGAGAGACGAUCUAAACGGACGCGUUUUCUGAAUUGACGUUUUCACCCUUUAUAUAAAUAUAAUCUCACGUGCGUCAAACGUGCGGACCCAAAUCUCGUCUCGGCGGUGGGCAGACAUUCAUUUUUAAUCUAUAUUUUUUUCCGGUUGGUAUUUGCAUGUUAACAUUAUUUCAUCAAAGGCAUUUUAUUUCAUACAUUUCUUACCAAUUCUUCGAUACGAGUACAAGACAAAAUAAAAAAA
rnacentral:lncRNA from 1 species